AAAGAGCCCAAGGUUUUGAGAUAUCCCUGGGUAGAAUAUAUUCCACAAUUCAGUGGGAAAGAAAAAACACAAACUGUUUUCAGUAUAUGUAUAUGUAUAUAUAUAUAUAUAUAUAUAUAUAUUUUUUUUUUCAAUUUUAUUUUAUUUUUUUAGCUUCCUUUCAUUUCAAGAGGCUAAGAGUUUUUGUGCCGUAGUGGACUUGUACAUGUGUGCUGAUGAGAAGAAACCUAGGCCCCCUAAAAUUGCAUUGACUUCACUAGUCAUUGUAGAUGAUUUGUUGUUGAACAUGGAAGGCCAGGAAAAAUGCUAUUCUAUUGCAUCGGAUUCGAAAGCCAUUGUUUGUUAUCAGUGAUAGCCGCGGCCAGAUUCUGCAGGAUAAUUUUACUUUAAAAAUUUGUGAACCUGUGAAUAUCUGGUAUCCUUCCUCAGCGUCGGGGAUAGCCCCAUCGUUUCUUAGCAUGCAGCAAGUAGGAAAAACUUGUCUUCUCAACGUUCUACGAAAAGAAAAAAUUAUAAUUAAAAAACAGGAUAUUAAAAUACUGGGUGCAGCACAAGUAAAACUCGUGUUUACAACAUAGAGAGUGCAAGGUCUGUCACCAACGUUGCAAGUACAACAAAGUCAGUAAAGACUGUUUAGGUUUUUUUGGUAAUCUUCAUUCCUCAUCCUAAACAAAAUAUCUGGUGUGGUGUAACUUUUGAAACAACGACGUCAGGUAAUCUAAGUUAUAAAACACAACACGAAUUCAACAACCUGUCAAAAAUACAUUUGUACAGCAAGACACACGGUUUAAGAAACAGGAAUUAGAGACUUGUUGAACUAGGAAAGUUCAUGAUUCGCAAGGGAAAAGAGGGUUCACGCUUGUUUUGACUUAGGAAAUUCGGGGAGACCGCAAAGCCUUCCUGUCAAGCUUCAAUAUUCCAACCUGACAGCUUUCUAAUGCAGUUGAAAUCACUUUGUGAAAUAAAUAAAUCAAUUAAAAAAAACCCCACCACCACCAACAUCCGUCGUGGAAAU
rnacentral:lncRNA from 1 species